UGUUCCCCUGAAGCAGCUCUGAUUCACCACGUUGGUCACACCGUCUUCAGCGUUGUCCAUUAGUUUGAAACUACUGUCAUCUUCUGCAGCGUAUUAGGUCCUGCCGCGUCUCCUUCUGUAUGAGCCUGUCUCACCGUGUUGGAGUCACUGGAUAAAUGGAGACCAAAGCCAAGCUUCUGUGGCCAGCUGUCUGAUAUCCUCUUCAGCCAUCCCUGCUCAUCGCGGAGGGGCCAGAGCAGCCGGGCUGUGGGAAA
rnacentral:lncRNA from 1 species